rnacentral:rRNA from 1 species
UACGUAGGGUCCGAGCGUUUGUCCGGAAUUAUUGGGCGUAAAGGGCUCGUAGGCGGUUUGUCGCGUCGGGAGUGAAAACACGGGGCUUAACCCCGUGCCUGCUUCCGAUACGGGCAGACUAGAGGUAUGCAGGGGGAGAACGGAAUUCCUGGUGUAGCGGUGAAAUGCGCAGAUAUCAGGAGGAACACCGGUGGCGAAGGCGGUUCUCUGGGCAUUACCUGACGCUGAGGAGCGAAAGUGUGGGGAGCGAACAGG